GACGAACGCUGGCGGCGUGCUUAACACAUGCAAGUCGAACGGAAAGGCCCCCUUGUGGGGUACUCGAGUGGCGAACGGGUGAGUAACACGUGAGUAACCUACCCUUGACUUUGGGAUAACUUCAGGAAACUGGGGCUAAUACCGGAUAGGAGCUCCUGCUGCAUGGUGGGGGUUGGAAAGUUUCGGCGGUUGGGGGUGGACUCGCGGCUUAUCAGCUUGUUGGUGGGGUAGUGGCUCACCAAGGCUUUGACGGGUAGCCGGCCUGAGAGGGUGACCGGCCACAUUGGGACUGAGAUACGGCCCAGACUCCUACGGGAGGCAGCAGUGGGGAAUAUUGCACAAUGGGCGGAAGCCUGAUGCAGCAACGCCGCGUGCGGGAUGACGGCCUUCGGGUUGUAAACCGCUUUCGCCUGUGACGAAGCGUGAGUGACGGUAAUGGGUAAAGAAGCACCGGCUAACUACGUG
rnacentral:rRNA from 1 species